GAUGAACGCUAGCGGCAGGCUUAACACAUGCAAGUCGAGGGGUAUUAGGAGCUUGCUCCUAAGAGACCGGCGCACGGGUGCGUAACGCGUAUGCAACCUACCUUGAACAGGGGGAUAGCCCAGAGAAAUUUGGAUUAAUACCCCAUGGUAUAUUAGAAUGGCAUCAUUUUAUUAUUAAAGUCACAACGGUUCAAGAUGGGCAUGCGUCCCAUUAGCUAGAUGGUAAGGUAACGGCUUACCAUGGCUACGAUGGGUAGGGGUCCUGAGAGGGAGAUCCCCCACACUGGUAAUGAGACACGGACCAGACGCCUACGGGAGGCAGCAGUGAGGAAUAUUGGUCAAUGGGCGCAAGCCUGAACCAGCCAUGCCGCGUGCAGGAUGAAGCAUCUAUGGUGUGUAAACUGCUUUUAUACGGGAAGAAACCCUGCCACGUGUGGCAGAUUGACGGUACCGUAGGAAUAAGGAUCGGCUAACUCCGUGCCAGCCGCCGCGGUAA
rnacentral:rRNA from 1 species